CUCAUGAGCUGGAAUGCAGGCUCCUGGACAAGAGAUGAGGGCAAUGUUGAAGGUUGAAGGUACUUGUGAUAUAUCCAUGAACUGUGUCUACACUUAAAUUAUAGAAAACGUGUUAUUGUUAAUUAAAUCUGAAAGAGGAACUCCAAAAAAUCAUCAACUAUGAAAGGUAAGCAAGCAAUAUCCAGGUGCGGCAAUUGCUAGAGUAUUAUAUCCCAUAGAUGUGUGUCAUCUGAGGUUAGGAGUCAUGCUUGUAAAUCACCAAAUCCAACCAUUUCUAGCUGAAUAAUAAGAGCUUUGUUUAUUGGAAGCCAAAGUACAAAAUGAAAUGUUACUACUCUGGAAAGCUGGCAUUAGCUAGUGCCACAGUAUAAAUCUCCCUUUCUUUUGCUUCUAUAAAUUACCAGGAGAGCUAAAUUCUCAUGACAGCACGGUCAGAGUCCAAUCUGGUGCCAUCAGACCUUUCUCAACGCAGUUCUUCAGUCUCACCUUAAAGAUGCAAUUCCUGCAGAGAUGUCACUGAGCAAAAAUGCGAUAUGCAGAGACCUCUAGAGACUGGAAAGCUAAACUACACUUAAUGACAUGCAGAUACAGUUCAGCAGUGCGUAGUAAUGAGAUCAUUGGCAGAUACAGAGCAGACUAUGAAGAGAAUAAGAAAGCUUCAAGAGAUGAAAGAAUGACAUCAACGUAAUUAUCACUCUCUCUUUUCAAGGAGCUGCUUAUCCACCAGGAUUAAACAGGAAGAAGAUAGAUGAGAAUGGAAAACACAGUGAAAACAGCAUGCUGAGAUUUUGUUUUUUCCAAAGCAAGUAGAAGCAGCUGGUUGUUUGUCUGCUGAGACAGAACCUAUGGAACUUAUGGGAGAAGAGAAAUGUCAAUAAAAUCAGUCACUUCUUGAAGACCCAGGUUGAUAUUUUCUUUUGCAAAAUAAGGACUCUAGAGGCUCUCAGAGACUGUUUCUUACCAUCAAGCAUUUCCUUUUUCCUUAGCUCCUGUCCCACUGGAAAGAAAAAAUUCAAUUUAAUUUCCUUCUAUCAGAUAGAACACUUGGAAAGACACUCAAGCAUUUACUAAUUUAUUCUUGACUACGUUAGUUUUAAUCCUAAAAGCUCCUAACUGAAAUUCUUCUAGAGAAUGUAUUAUUAUAACAAUACCUUAACAUACCUGAUGCAUAAUAUGCCAAACAUCACAUACCUGCAAAAUGCCAAUACUCUUGUUUUGAAAACAAAUGAGAACAUAGUUGGCCUGUUAGAGAAUGCUUAUCUCCAAGCAAUUUUCCUUAGUUAUCUUCGAAUUCUCAUCUUUCCGAUGUCUCAUGGUGUGCUACUUCUCUUUUAUUUUGUAUAGUUGACUUCUAAAAGUCAAAUCACCUCUACGGCCACAGCUGACAAUACACAAACUUCUUGUUUCUGGAGAUCCUCAGCUGCCGUGUGAUUGUUUCAUUUUAAUACGAGAUAUGAGACAUAAAAUUAAGCAAACAAAAUCUCAUUUAAAAGAAAACUAGGAAGAAUAAAAAUGAAAUCGAUCAUACAUUAUUUAUUUAAUGGUAAUAAGCAUUAGGUAAUAACCUAUUAUUUAGGAACACGUUCCUUUUUUAUUUUCUAUAGCCUUUUAAUCAAUAAUGAAAACAUUUAUGGAAUAACUUGAAAAAUUAACUAAUAUUGAUUUGUUUCCAUACUCUACAGAACAUGAAUCUGAACUCUCUUCUGCUAUAUGAAUCAUUAAUCUCUUCCCUAAUUUUCCUUACAGAUAUUAGUAAAAAUAAUAAUAAUAAUAAAAAUAACAGUACUGUAUUAUCUUGCAGUUGAAUAUUUUUGUAUUCUAGUGUUCCAAUAUCCUAUUAAUUCAUACAGGAGAUCCAUAAAAAGAGAUAUGCACAGUAUGAUUACUAAUUAUAUAUUUUCUGUUAUCAUUACAUAUUUGGAAGCAGACAUGAUCAAAGUAUGUAAGAUGAUCCAUUGUUUUGGCACAGAAAUUUGGGGCUUGUAAAAGUAGAUUAUCAGAAUUGUCCAUUCUUCAUUCUCUCUACAAUCCAUUUUACUCUCUUUCACAGACAAUAAACAUUGUGUAUGUACCCCAUCAAACUCAAUGCUCUCUCCUUUCUUUUAAUGAAAUGUAGUCACAUUUAAACUAGCUUGAAGGUGGCCUACCUCUUGAUUGAAUCCAAGGCAAUUUAACUUUACAGAGUAAUUUCACACUUUCCAUUACCAGAACGUAAGUAGCUGUUAAGUCAAAAAGGUGGAUCAGAAAUCAUACCUUCCA
rnacentral:lncRNA from 1 species